rnacentral:rRNA from 1 species
AGUGAACGCUGGCGGUAGGCCUAACACAUGCAAGUCGAACGGCAGCACAGUAAGAGCUUGCUCUUACGGGUGGCGAGUGGCGGACGGGUGAGGGAUACAUCGGAAUCUACUUUUUCGUGGGGGAUAACGUAGGGAAACUUACGCUAAUACCGCAUACGACCUACGGGUGAAAGCAGGGGAUCUUCGGACCUUGCGCGAUUGAAUGAGCCGAUGUCGGAUUAGCUAGUUGGCGGGGUAAAGGCCCACCAAGGCGACGAUCCGUAGCUGGUCUGAGAGGAUGAUCAGCCACACUGGAACUGAGACACGGUCCAGACUCCUACGGGAGGCAGCAGUGGGGAAUAUUGGACAAUGGGCGCAAGCCUGAUCCAGCCAUACCGCGUGUGUGAAGAAGGCCUUCGGGUUGUAAAGCCCUUUUGUUGGGAAAGAAAAGCAGCAGGUUAAUACCCCGCUGUUCUGACGGUACCCAAAGAAUAAGCACCGGCUAACUUCGUG